CACAGUGAAAGGGAGAAGAGGUACAAGAGAAGAGAAGCGAAUCCGAGAGAGAAGCAGACGCAGAGCUGAAGGCAGGUGGGGAGGCAGGUUCCGGACAACGCUGCCAGGCCACUGGGAUUGCCGAGAAACCUAUGGUAAUUGCUUUCUCAUUAAGAGAGGGAGGGUGAGGGCGACAAAUGACUACUGCUUUAAGUAUGCGGAAAAACUCCCUCUGAAAAGAAGAAGCUGGAGUGUCAAAGAUCUGCAGUUUGCCUUGGUGACAACAUGAGACAGAGAAGGCCCAGCACAUACUGCGCUCAUAACUGGAAAUUCCUGAGAAAAGAAAUAGCCUGCAUCGUGGAUACAAAGAUUCAUGAAGGAAGUAACAAGUUGGAUGUAUAAGCCAACACCGACUUCAAGCUCAAAGACGGAAAUGGCUGCAAGAUGAUAUUGUAAAUGGUGGCGAAUAACAGAUUGUUGCGGCGAUGACCUGGUGUGGAUAAAGCUAGCUUUGGGAUGUCUUUUUUUACACUUUGUUGGAUUAAUUUUUUUAUUAUAUUAAUAAUUUUGUUGGAAUUGUACUGUUCAGACGACUGACUGGACCACUCAACAAUGGACGUUCGAUUCAAGGCCCCAAGCUGCGCUGCGCUGGAGGUGGCGUCAAAAGGCUUUUGGGAUCUUCCCCCUCAAUGCUAAAGGGAACUCAAGUUUCUAUUGAUGGAUUUUAAAUGUGACUUCCUUGUGCAUAAGUGUGGAUUUGAGGGAAGAUAUAUUCCUCUAAACUGAGGGGGCGUACCUUGAUGCUCAUAAACUCCCUUUACACUGGAGCUCUGCUGUGGGAAGACUCUGAGGAAAAAGGCCUACAAUCAACAGGUUCACUCCUCUGAGAACAUGCAGCUGAAUUAAUAGAAACAUUCUGUACAAAGGAGAAGAAGUAACUAAAUACAGUUUUGUUGAAUAUACUUUAAAACAGGGGAACCAUGAUCGUGUGGUACACAAUGCAAAUGGCUCUAAGUGUGUGUGGCAGUACAGAUCCUUGGCGGUGUCCCAGCUCCACAUUGCACACUAACACAAUAAGAAUGCACUGUGUAUGUUAACAGUGUACUGUUGUGACAGUUAGUAUACAAGAAAUGAAGGACAGGAAAUGAUACAAGAUGGUCACAAAUAGACUUCAAUUAAACUGUGAUUUUUGAACUCUGACAUUUUCGAAUCAGGAGAAAAACAACAAGAACAACGCAAAGCGUUUUCUGAAGAUUGAAUAAGUCUUAUUCUGAUUAAUUCUCUGUCUGUACUCUCUCUCAACA
rnacentral:lncRNA from 1 species